UACAGAGGUCCCAAGCGUUGUUCGGAUUCACUGGGCGUAAAGGGUGCGUAGGCGGUCGGGUAAGUCUGAUGUGAAAUCUCACAGCUUAACUGUGAAACUGCAUUGGAUACUAUCCGGCUAGAGGAAUGGAGGGGAGACUGGAAUACUUGGUGUAGCAGUGAAAUGCGUAGAUAUCAAGUGGAACACCGGUGGCGAAGGCGGCUCUCUGGACCGAUACUGACGCUGAGGCGCGAAAGCGUGGGGAGCAAACAGG
rnacentral:rRNA from 1 species